GGGAAGGUGGCUCAGUGGUAGAGUGCUUGCCUUGCAUGCAUGAAGCCUUGGGUUCGAUUCCUCAGUACCA
rnacentral:tRNA from 1 species